GCUUCUCUCCUCUCGAGCGCUUUUACGGUUUGAAACUCCAAACUCUGUCAGCCUUUCAGGUAAAACGCUUCCGGUUCCUCCGCCCGUCGCGAGGCUCCGCGAGCCCAACAGCUUCCGGUGUCGGUCGGGUUGUUUUGAUGGUCACGGACGGAGCACAAACAAACAAACAAACAAACAACACAACACAACAGCCGACAGAGAGCCGAACCGAUCAGCCGAUCAGUGAUCGAUCAGGCGGCCAGGUGCCGAGAGCAGCAGAUGGAGCCGAGGCCCCGACACACUGAUGAUGAUGAUGAUGAUCACAGAGAUGAAGAUGAAGACAUGAGUCGCCCUCCCAGAUCAGGACGUCCCGACGAACACGAGCACUUCUACGACUGCCAGGAGACACUGGAGCCGCCGCACCUCCUCACCUCCUCUGCUCCUCCUCCUCCUGCUGCUGCUGCUCCUCUACAGGAGGAGGAGAGGAGAACAGGAG